GAUGAACGCUGGCGGCGUGCCUAAUACAUGCAAGUCGAGCGCACGGACGAGAAGCUUGCUUCUCUGAUGUUAGCGGCGGACGGGUGAGUAACACGUGGAUAACCUACCUAUAAGACUGGGAUAACUUCGGGAAACCGUAGCUAAUACCGGAUAAUAUUUUGAACCGCAUGGUUCAAAAGUGAAAGACGGUCUUGCUGUAACUUAUAGAUGGAUCCGCGCUGCAUUAGCUAGUUGGUAAGGUAACGGCUUACCAAGGCAACGAUGCAUAGCCGACCUGAGAGGGUGAUCGGCCACACUGGAACUGAGACACGGUCCAGACUCCUACGGGAGGCAGCAGUAGGGAAUCUUCCGCAAUGGGCGAAAGCCGGACGGGGCAACGCCGCGUGAGUGAUGAAGGUCUUCGGAUCGUAAGACUCUGUUAUUAGGGAAGAACAUAUGUGUAAGGAACUGUGCACAUCUUGACGGUACCUAAUCAGAAAGCCACGGCUAACUACGUG
rnacentral:rRNA from 1 species